rnacentral:rRNA from 1 species
UACGAAGGGGGCUAGCGUUGCUCGGAAUCACUGGGCGUAAAGGGUGCGUAGGCGGGCCUUUAAGUCAGGGGUGAAAUCCUGGAGCUCAACUCCAGAACUGCCUUUGAUACUGAAGAUCUUGAGUUCGGGAGAGGUGAGUGGAACUGCGAGUGUAGAGGUGAAAUUCGUAGAUAUUCGCAAGAACACCAGUGGCGAAGGCGGCUCACUGGCCCGAUACUGACGCUGAGGCACGAAAGCGUGGGGAGCGAACAGG